AGCUAGAGUAUGGGAGAGGAUGGUAGAAUUCCAGGUGUAGCGGUGAAAUGCGUAGAGAUCUGGAGGAAUACCGAUGGCGAAGGCAGCCAUCUGGCCUAAUACUGACGCUGAGGUACGAAAGCAUGGGGAGCAAACAGGAUUAGAUACCCUGGUAGUCCAUGCCGUAAACGAUGUCUACUAGCCGUUGGGGCCUUUGAGGCUUUAGUGGCGCAGCUAACGCGAUAAGUAGACCGCCUGGGGAGUACGGUCGCAAGACUAAAACUCAAAUGAAUUGACGGGGGCCCGCACAAGCGGUGGAGCAUGUGGUUUAAUUCGAUGCAACGCGAAGAACCUUACCUGGCCUUGACAUACUAGAAACUUUCCAGAGAUGGAUUGGUGCCUUCGGGAAUCUAGAUACAGGUGCUGCAUGGCUGUCGUCAGCUCGUGUCGUGAGAUGUUGGGUUAAGUCCCGCAACGAGCGCAACCCUUUUCCUUACUUGCCAGCAUUUCGGAUGGGAACUUUAAGGAUACUGCCAGUGACAAACUGGAGGAAGGCGGGGACGACGUCAAGUCAUCAUGGCCCUUACGGCCAGGGCUACACACGCGCUACAAUGGUCGGUACAAAGGGUUGCUACACAGCGAUGUGAUGCUAAUCUCAAAAAGCCGAUCGUAGUCCGGAUUGGAGUC
rnacentral:rRNA from 1 species